ensembl:lncRNA
GCCUCCGCUUCAGGGAGGGGCGGGCUGGAGAGGCCACCUCCCCCUUCUAAGGCUCCAGAUCCUCCAGUUCUGAGUCACCCAGCUUGUCAGGUGCCUCGUCAUCCAGCAUCAUUAUCCUUAAAGGAAAGUGGAUGUGGCCUACUCUUCACUCCAGCAAUCAUAUGAAGAUAAGUCUCUACCCUCUUGGAGGAGCGUGCUAAGUCAAUUCAGUCACGUCUGACUCUUUGCAACCCUAUGGACUGUAGAUCACCAGGCUCCUCUGUCCAUGGGAUUCUCCAAGGUGGGUUCUUUACCACUAGCGCCACCUGGGAAGCCCACUGGAGGAGCAGCAACCACGUUUAAGGCCUUGAUUUGACUCCAGGGGCAGACUAGAUUGGACUAGAAGGAAUCCCAGUGGCCUCGCCUGUGAUCCGCUUUGGACUGGAGCUGACUCACCUGGUUUAACACCUUGCAACCCUCUAUGUGCACCUAUGUGAAGCUAAGCCUACAGCCAAGGGGUCUUCCGGAUGCACCUUUAUGUCCUGGCUCUGAGGUCUGUGUGGUUUGGGGCCACAGAUACACCCCUUUUCUCAUCCAUAAAACAGGACUCACUUCACAGAACCAUGGUAAGGAUAAAAUCAUCCAAAGGAUAAUUUUAUCGUCAUGCAAAGACCUUGGCAUAAACCAAGUGCUCACAUAGUGAGAGACAUUAAGGUACUGGAUCUGGCCCUUAAAAGGAUGACUCAGUGUAUUCAAAACCUCAUUCCAUGGAUUACAGCGUCAAAGUCUUUCUCAAAUACCCUAGUGUCCUCUGUUUUUUUUCCAGGUAUCAGUUAAGGAGAGGCCAGGAAGAUAAUGGUUGAGGCCAAACAAGGACAUGUGUGGGUGAAGCGUGACCAGAGGGGAGGG